UUUUUAUGUAUGUUACAUCAGAACUUUUGACCAGGUAGACCGAUUUAGACAAAUUUUGUUUUAAUCGAAAGGUGGUGUGUGCCGAUUGGUCCCAUUUAAAUUUAUUUGAGAUCUAACAACUACUUUUCGAAUUAUAUCUAAUAAUGCGUUUUACUUGACGCUUUUUUCGUCGACCUACGUUGUAUUAUACCACAUAACUUUCUACUGGGUGUACCGAUUUUGAUAAUUCUUUUUUUGUUGGAAAGGGGAUAUCCUUAGUUUGGUACCAUGAUAAGGAAACCAGGAUCUGAUGAUGGGAUCCCAGAGAAAUCGAGAGAAACUCUUGAAAAUCCGCAAUAACUUUUUACUGGGUUUUGUCAUGUAGUCACAUAUAAAUUUUAUGGAGAUCUGAUAACUACUUUUUGAGUAAUCUUUGAU
rnacentral:misc_RNA from 1 species